GGAAACCAGUUCCAAGGGACUCAGCUAAGCCACUCAGAGAAAAAAAGACCUGAGCUUUAUUCGGAGAGGAAAAAAAAAAAAAAUGGUAUGCAGCUGCAGCUUACCCCGCAUGACACUGCACAGAAUCCCAAAGAAAUAGAGCGGGAGAGACCCAGCCGUGCCUGCAGCCUGCCCCUCUCUCGGCUUGUGGCUAGGAUUAGGGAAAUGCUCUGACCUAUACACAUGGAUGGACAUUUGCUCAAAAGAUGUGGUCCCUGGACUGGAAGCUUCAGAAUCAUCUGGAAAUGUGCUAGAAAUGCAGGCUCCCAGGCCUCCCCUACCACUCCUUUACAAGUACACAAGGUCACUGGAUAGAUGGUCCCUUUGGAUCACGUGCUCAUCCCUGGCCCAGUCAGCUGUGAUCAGAGGAGCAAGACCGUGAGAUAAGGCUUGAAACCUAAGGAAUUUCAAAGAGGGGGCCAUGAUGGGCAUUCAGCGGCAUCUCAGGAGGGGGCAGAGUAACCAGCAGGUGCUUUGCAUGCUGGUCUGGUGUGUCUGGAAAAGGCAUCCCGCUAAAACGUUUGUCAGGAAACUUCUCAUCAGCAUUUCCAGCAUGCAGGAGCAACCAAGAGAGCCACUUAGAUACCAUUUGAUUAUAAUGUGUUUCUCAGAGAAAUAAAUAGCCCAAAUGGAAGCAC
rnacentral:lncRNA from 1 species